rnacentral:rRNA from 1 species
GACGAACGCUGGCGGCGUGCCUAACACAUGCAAGUCGAACGUAACUGUUUUGACAGAUUUCUUCGGAAUGAAUUUGAUUUAGUUUAGUGGCGGACGGGUGAGUAACGCGUGAGUAACCUGCCUUCAAGAGGGGAAUAACAUUCUGAAAAGAAUGCUAAUACCGCAUGACAUAUCGGAACCACAUGGUUUUGAUAUCAAAGAUUUUAUCGCUUGAAGAUGGACUCGCGUCCGAUUAGUUAGUUGGUGAGGUAACGGCUCACCAAGACCGCGAUCGGUAGCCGGACUGAGAGGUUGAACGGCCACAUUGGGACUGAGACACGGCCCAGACUCCUACGGGAGACAGCAGUGGGGGAUAUUGCGCAAUGGGGGCAACCCUGACGCAGCAACGCCGCGUGAAGGAUGAAGGUUUUCGGAUUGUAAACUUCUUUUAUUAAGGACGAAAAAUGACGGUACUUAAUGAAUAAGCUCCGGCUAACUACGUG